GGUAUCUCAGCUUUCUCUUCUGCCUUCGAUUCCUCGUCUGCUGCUGUUUCAACAAAAAACAAAACGAGGCAUAAGAAAAGGUGAUGGAUAAGAGGAUCCGUGUUGGGGUUUGUUUCAAAGUUAGCCAAACAAUUUUUCCUGAAGAUCUUCAGUGAAGCUCAGACCACCUGAAAGCAAAUGGUAAAGACUCUGUAAAUGCAAGGCUGUUUUAAGACGGGCCAAAGCACCGGCUUCCUCCCCAUGAAUCAGCAUCACACGUAGCCUACGAGGCCAUUUCUCCAGGUGCCAAUCAAUGCUUAGCUGUGCAUUGAGAGGGAAAUUAAAGUACAAAUUCCUUCUCCUGAAAAGAACGCGAGAAAUCUGCAACAUAGAAUACUGCAUUAAUAUUCUACAGGUAAAAAAUCAUUGUUUUGCUCAAUGCAUUUAAUGAAAAAAUCAAAUCAUUCUGCAUGGCAAAGAGGAACUGCCGUACAAUACCACACAGUUAAUGAAUGAACUGAAGACACGCUACAGUGCUUUCAAAGCAAAGUUAUCGAUGUUAGCAUUAAAUUAAUUGUUUGAAGUGAAUCGUUUGAGGCUGAUUGAAAGCAAUAUCGCCAGGUAGACGUAAACACACGGAUGUUGAAUUUCAUAGGGUGGAAGGGAGCAAUUGGCACAAAGCUUGUUUCUGUCAUGCUGGCUCAAAUGAAGAACUGUUUUAAGCAGAUUUCAUUCUAUCAAAACGAUGAGAUGCAACGUCAAAGUAGAAAAAUCAAUGUAUGUUUGCUUGAGAAAUUUAGAGACGAUUCGUUCCAGUUCUGAUGAUGAAAUCUGUGCCACAAGCAUUUUGAAGAUGCUUGAAGCUUGUUGCUAUAGAUGUCUCCAAGCCCAUACUGCAGAUAUAAAGCAGAUGAAUUUGCAGUGGGGUCCAAAUGUCUAAGACCACAAGUUAAAAUGCUUCAGUUUUGCAUUUAUUAGUUAAUUUAUCACCUUUACAAUGCACCCCUUUAGUCUUAAUGGUAAUAUGCAUUCGAGCUUGCAUGUACUUUACAAGUUUGUUAAAAAUCUGAUAAUCUAUGUUUUGUCCAAUAAGUAUUUGCUUAUUUAAUUAAUAUUUACAUCAUUUUACGUAAUAGUAAUAACGUAUGUAUUUUUUGCUAUAAUAAAAAAUUAACCCUUGUUUUUGGCCGUAUACAUUUGGACGCCAUUCUUUUACACUUCAUGUCAAUGCAUUGUUUAGACACUUGUGAAGCUUCUAUUCAUCUCUUAAGGUUAAAUUAGUUUUAAGAUUCAGCAACACUUGGAACUGCAAAUUGUUAUUUUUGCAAAGCAAAUAUGUUUUAUUUUAAAAGGAAAAUUAUACAUAUAUAAACAAGAAUUUAUAAAAAAAAACACAAAGUUCA